UUCAAAGUUGCAUAUAUUUUGUUUAAAGAAACUGAGUCUGUGGAAACUGCACUGGAAAUGAGUAGUGCUGUUGUUAGAUAUAUGUCUACUGAAUCAAGACCUAUUUUAUCAGGAAUUAAAAAGUGGAUUCACGAAUAUAAAAAUCGUUAUCCAAAUGAAAGCACUAUGCAGUUAAUCAUUGAUACAUAUAUGAAAGACUUUGAUCAAAAUAAUAUCAAA
rnacentral:lncRNA from 1 species